AACUGGAACACCUGGGCGAUGUUGCGCUGCUGCGUCGUCAGAUGCGUGACGUCGGUUC
rnacentral:sRNA from 1 species